rnacentral:lncRNA from 1 species
UUCAUGGAAAUUGGAUCCCUACCAUUGAUAUUGAGAAGCUUUAAGAAAUUUUCAUUUGAGACGUCCAAAAAUAUCCUAGUAAGUCAUUGAAGUCCUCUAUAAAUACAAUUGAGUGAAAUAUAAGACUUAAUCAAGCACGAAAUCAAUCUUUUUUUUUGUAAAUGAAGGCCUUCCUCGUUGUCUUCUUCCUUUUGAUUUAUGAAGUUUUAGGAGCUCCGAAUUCAUUUAUUGACGGUGAGAUGAUUAUUUUUUAAUUCAUUUUGCUUAAAAUAUAUAUAUUAUAUAAAACAAAUCGUAAUUUAAAAAUAAAAAAAUUAUAAAUAUUAAAGUUUGAAUCCAAAUUUACAAAAUAUCACAUGUUAAAAGAUAAUUUUAUGAUCCAUUUGAGCUAUAAAUCAUACAACCAAAACAACUAAUUUGUAUUAGUAGUUUAUACAUGGCGUUUAUCUUUAAAUAAUUUUAUUUUGAAGAAAUUCAUAAUUUACCCAUGGUGGAGUUUUGAUAUACAUAGUUCUUUUCCUUUUAUGUAGGUAAGAUUAAGAUUUCUAAAUUGUACAAAGUAGAACAAUUCAAUAAAUGCAACAUUAGUGUUCUCAUAUUUAUAAUUGUUUUAUAUAGAGGAGAAUUAAAACAAACCGUUUUGCCAUUAACAAAUUAUAUUUUCAAUUUUGAUUAGUAUUUAAAAAUUUUUUUAUCUCAUCUCAAUAAAGCUUUUAGACUAUAUCUAAGAGAUUAGAUAGUUGCCAUAUACCCUUAUACCCUUUUAGGAUAUAAUAAAAAAAUCUAAAAUUUUAUAUAAAAACUAAUAGGAGAUGUGGUAAUAUUCUAACACCUCUUGAAAAGUUUAAAGACUCUUACCUAUUUUUUUUCAUCCUAAUCCAAUUCUUAUUCGGAGUUGCAGGAUGUACAGGGGAUCCGUUCAACAGAGGUGAGACUUACUUUCUAAUCUAUUUUAUGCUUAUAUUUAUGUUAAUAUUGUAAGAAAUAUGAUUUUAUAUUAAUAUUUUAUGGCAGUCAGUUGCUUCCCGUCGACUUCUUUGCCUUUAUUUUUAUAUAUGAUUCUUUUCCAUUUAAGUAAUUAAGAUAAGAUAUAAGGACCACUAUUUUAACAUUUUUCUAUUUAUUCCUUUAUAUUACUGACCAAAAAAAAAUUACUCUAAGUUGUUGUAAUAAUUCAUCAAAUCUGAUAUUAACUUCAGAGAAUGGAUUAAUUUACAAAAUGUAAAAUUAAAAAAAUUUUACAUUUUUUUAACAAUUAAUUUUAAUAAAUUCAAAAAAUAAAAAGAUAAGUAAGAAAUUAAAAAAAUAAUUUAAUUUCAUCCCUUAAAUCUAUUGAAAUUAAUAACUAAAAAAUUAUAUAAAACUUUUUAAUUUUAUAUCUCCUCUUAAUUUUAUAUAUAUAUAUAUAUAUAUAUAUAACAAUAGUUAAAAGGAAAAUGAUGGAGUUUCUUUUCUCUGUCAUUCUUCUAAAAUUUUUAAACUUUUUUUAAAAACUUUUUUUUGGAUAAUAUUUGGCAUUUUGUAGAUCAAUUUCUUUUUAUUUUAUAUUUGAUGCGUUAAAUUUUUUUUUUGGGAAAGUACAACCUAGGAAAGAGUGACCUAUCCUUAUUAUUGGGAGAUCUAUAUUGUUUAUAAGUAGAGUAUUGAUAAAUAUCCCAAAGACUGAAAAAUAAAAAAUUUGAGAAAUUAUCUCAUCUCAAUAAAGUUUUUAGACUAUAUCAAAGAGAUUAGAUAGUUGCCACAUACCCUUUUAGGGUAUAAUAGAAAAAUCUAAAAUUUUAUAUAAAAGCUACUAGGAAAUGUGGUAAUAUUCUAACAACUCUUGAAAAGUGUAAAGACUCUUACCUAUUUUUUUUUAUCCUAAUCCAAUUCUUAUUUGGAGUUGCAGGAGGUAGAGGGGAUCCGUUCAAUAAAGGUGAGACUUACUUUCUAAUCUAUUUUAUGCUUAUAUUUAUGUUAAUAUUGUAAGAAAUAUGAUUUUUCAUUAAUAUUUUAUGGCAGUCAGUUGCUUCCCGUGUACUUCUUCGCCUUUAUUUUUAUAUGUGGUUCUUUUCCAUUUAAGUAAUUAAGAUAAGAUAUACGGACUACUAUUUUAACGUUUUUCUAUUUAUUCCUUUAUAUUACUGACCCAAAAAAAAUAUUACUCUAAGUGGUUGCAAUAAUUCAUUAAAUCUGAUAUUAACUUUAGAGAAUGGAUUAAUUUACAAAAUGUAAAAUUAAAAAAAUUUUACAUUUUUUUAACAAUUAAUUUUAAUAAAUUAAAAAAAUAAAAAGAUAAGUAAGAAAUUAAAAAACAAUUUAAUUUCAUCUCUUAAAUAUAUUGAAAUUAAUAACUAGAAAAUUAUAUAAAGCUUUUUAAUUUUAUAUCUCCUCUUAAUUUUAAAAAUAUAUAUAACAAUAGUUAAAAGGAAAUUUAUGGACUUUCUUUUCUCUGUCAUUCUUCUAAAACUUUUAAAUUUUUUUUAAGAAUUUUUUUGGAUGAUAUUUGGCAUUUUGUAGAUCAAUUUCUUUUGUCUUAAAUUUUAUUUUAUAUUUGAUGUAUUAAAAUUUUUUUUUGGGAAAGUACAGCCUAGAAAAGAGUGACCUAUCCUUAUUAUUGGCGGAUCUAUAUUGUUUAUAAGUAGAGUAUUCGUAAAUAUCCCAAAGAUUGAAAAAUAAAAAAUUUGAGAAAAAUUUGUUUUCCUAAACACCCUAAAUUAUUUUUUUGGAUAUCUUUUUUAUCAAUAGAAUUAGUAAACUCAUUAUAAUAAAAUUUGACAGUAUUAGAAAUAAUUCUUGAUCAAAUGAUUGUUUAAUUAUAUAUAUUGAGAAUGAUAUAUUUGAUAAUAUCAGAAAUGAUGCAAUUAUGUUUUUUUUUUUUUUUUAAAUAUGAGAACUCGUGUGACAACUAUAAUAAUAUAACAAAAUAUUAAUUAAAUUGUUGUUUACAAUUUUCUUAUAUAUAUUAUAAGUAAAUACUUAAAAAAUCUUUUAAAUCCGUCACCAAUUUUUAUUGAAUGAAUUUAAACAUAUUUUUUAGGUCAAAAUUUGCUUAUAUAUAUUUAUAUGAGUGUUUCCUCAAACUAGUAAUAAUUUUCUAUUCUAUUUUUCAUAUUUCCAGGACCAAAAAAGGCACCUGUUUCGCAAAUAAAGUGCUAUAGGAAUGGAAGGUUAGUUACAUGCAAUAUUCCUUCACUACCACCAGGGAAAGGAUGGCCUAAUCUGCAAUCGACAUGCCCUUGUUGCAUUGGAAAGAAAGUAUACGGUUGUCGCAGGCAAUAAUUCUCAUUAUAAAGAUAGCACAUAAUAUGGUGCAUGUGUUUUAUGGUUUGUAUUAAUUGCUACCUAUUGGUUUCUAUCUUUUUAGCAUUUUCAACUCGUUGGCUUGCUAGAAGUAUUUUCAGAUCGAAUUUGAAAUAGGUAAUCUUAAACCUUUUGAUUUUGCCUACAUCAUCCCAAGAUAACAACCUAUUUGUCCCUAUUUGUUGUUAUAUGGUGAACUUUGGUAAAUGUCACUGGAAUAAAUUUGGGUUAAAGGCAAGUUACAUAC